ACCAAUCCUCACACGAAAACACAGCUCACCAGACCAAUCCUUUCCCGUCCUCGAGCCCCACACCGCCGUCCGGCAUCCCCUGCUCCUCGGCCCUCCGCCGCCUCACGGCCUCUCGCACCGCCACCUUCUCUCCCGGGCCUCCUCCCCAGCGCUCGCGGUGCAGCAGCGUGGGCGCCGCCACGUUCUUGAUCCAGUCGGAUCUGGCGCAGGUCCCCGUCAUCCGGCGCCGCACGCGGUGAUUCCAGAUCGGGCGAGGUCGCCGCCAGGAGAGCAGGAGAGGCUGCUGCAGCGAGUGCAGCGGAGGAGCCCAUCCUGGUCAAGCCCCACCCGGCGGCUGCGUGUGGAGGAGGAGAGGUCGAGGAUGGCCCCAGUUUGUGGAGGAGACGCCCAGCAAAGGUGAGUUCAUUCUUUCUGACCUGGGCUCAUCCACUAAUUCAUGGCUUCCUUUUUUCUGUUUUUAUAUGCUGCAGAUAGGGUUAGCGAGGAGGAGGUUGUCCCCGCGAAGAGGCAGCGUGAGGCUGCACCGGCGCCUCCCCGCGAAGUGGGUAAGGACGCCGUCAGUACGUGAUAAGAUUAGGUGCUGGACUGCUGGGUACCACGUCCACCCCAUGCCCAAAUCACACAGGGCCAUUACACAUAUCAUGGAAACAAGAUGAUUAUUGAUUUCUGCGGCACAAGGCCCUAUCUAUAUUCAAAAUAUAUUCAUUUCUGAAUAAUGCAAUUAGAAGCAAUAGAAGUGUUUGCUGAAAUGGAUUUUCUUACUCGAAAAAAAUAUAUUGUGAGACUUGAAGCAAAGGACGAAGAGUAUAUCUCAACAAUAGGCAAUUAAACAUGGUAAAUAAUUCAUCACGCCCUUAGAUUUUUUUGUUUCUCGUCUGAGAGUUCUGCUCUCCCUUAAAAUAGCAUUUCGGAAAUUGCAUUGACUUUAUGUGAUAUUUAGUCAAGUGCAAACCUUCAGUUAAUUUUGCUGGCACUAUAUUUUCUUUUUGCUGUCAACAGAAUUGGGGACAUUGUGCAUUCGUUGACAUUAACAAGGAUAGCAUGCAUUCUUGAAGUAAGUCUGAUGGCUAGCUUAGCAUUGUGUACAAGCAUAGGAGUUUUUGCUAUAUAUUUUGCAGGCUGAUUUCAAACACUGAAAGAAUAUUUAAUUGAUAGAAUGUACCAUAAAAACCUUACACAUCUUCUCUUUGUAUAUGUUUUAAUUGCUUUCAUGAUUAUCAGUUCCCACUAGGAAUGUACACUUCAGGUUGUGGUGUUGAUCCUUCAGCGUUACACCCUGAGUAUUUAACCAUUAGAUGACUGACCCUAUAAACCUCUUAAAAAAUGCAUUGUUACUUUUUAUGCUGAGCUAACCUUAUUCAGUUUAUGAACAUCUGUACAUGCUGCUACAGAGCAUAAAAAGGAGAAAAUACAAAUUCGUUUGCUGACUGUUCUUGCAUCAAUAGUUUUGUGGUACAAAAUAGGAGCCAAUAGGCUCACUUGUAGUAUUAGACUGUUCUCCUAUGUUACAGCUAGCAGGUUCCAUUUUGUUUCUACGUAUUGUUCGCUAAAGAAGGUUGAAGAGAUACCGCUAUGGGGAAGAAAAAUGUGGUGAGAUGGGGAUUACAGUUUAUUGCAAACUCAGAUGGGAUUAUAGUUUUUGUUUUUUUGUUGAUCAUGUUUUCUUAAGAUAAUUCAUUGAUAGCUGAUUUUGUUGUCUACAGAUUUUCUUAGAAUAGUACCAACAUUGUUCAUACUACUGCUUGUGGGGUCGUCCUCCUGAUUUUGUUAGGAAGCUUUGCUUAUGGUUACCUGCAAAUUGCUCUUGGAUGCAUGUGAUCAUUUAGUUUUAUAUCCAUGCUUGUGUGGUUUGCUCGUGCAGGCCAUCCCUUUCGGUGGCCUGUGUGCAGUCCAUACUACCUGCUUCUUCGUAUUUGCUUGGUAUUUAUUUAUAUAUGGUCAACUCAGAUGGGGUUGCUUUCUAAAUUUAGCACAACUAAUGAUGUUGCUUUAGUAUGUUUUCUUUAGUAUGCUUCCUCAUCCGGCAGACCACCUCCUACAUUAGUAUGUGUGCUUCUGAAUUUAGCACGAUAACUAUUGAUGUUGCUUUAGUACGUUUUCUUUAGGAUCCAAUGGGCGACCACUUCCUCUUUACACAUGAAAUGCUUCUUCUUUCUCACUAAUGCAUGCUAUUAUCAGCCUUUCAUUUUCCUCACUAAUGCAUGCAAGUUAAUUAACUAUCUAAUAGAACGAAACUCUGCGUCUAGGGUCCAGUAGGUGUUCUGUUUGCUGUUUACUAAUGGUCUGAUCUAUUUAUUGUUGCAUGUGCAAAUAGUGAUCCUUGUUGCUCACUGAUACAUGCAGGUUUAUUAACCUUUUCCUUUUCUUCCCAUAAAUUUUCUUUGAUUCAGUUAUUUGACUAAAUAGUAUUAUAUGCCCAGGGUUAAUUAGUACCUAAAAUGCUACCUUCAGUUUCUGCAAUUGUUAUUAUGUUCCAUUGGUUCAGUCCUGUAGUUCAGUAGUUCCAGUGGAUUUUGCUAAAUGGUUUUGCAUCUAUAAUUAGUAAAAAAAGGCCUCGGUUGGUUUCUGCAAUAAUUUCCCUCAAGCUUUCUACAGUCGGAUAUUUAUUAGUUAUUACACAUAUAGAGCUCUUUAAUUUCUUUGUUUAUAAUAUGACAUUCCCUCAUUAGUUUUCUGUUAUGUGGAGGAUAUUUUUCUUUUGCUGUGACAUGUGCUUUGUUAUGUGCAGGUUGCAGUCACAAGGAUGAUCUGGCCGACCAUGUCAGCAAGGCCAAUGCAACAGAGUUGAAGGAAAUAUUACGACAUGAACGGUGUGAUGACCCGUGUGCAACCUCAACAAGUGUGAAAGUACCCUUCGUUAAAGUUUGUGUUUUCUGCACAAGUUGUGGUUUAUACUUAACAGGGAAAAAAUGAUUAUGUGAUAUAGUAAAGAGAGUUGUUUCUAACCUGCUACGCAACAAGGAUUGCAACAUUUUGCAGUCUCUUAGGCUGUUGAAGAGAAUGGAGGAAACUGAAGGCGCUAACAGUUCCUGUUUGAAGGUCAUCACGGACUAUAAUUGCUACGAAGUUUAUGUUGACAGAUUUGUUUGUUUUUUCCUUUUUAAGAAUCAGUUAUUUUUGUAAGCACCACUAAGCCUACCUUGCAGACCAUCUUGGUGUUUUAGCAACAACAGUGAACAUCUUUGUUCUCUUUUUCAACUUCUUUUCAAUAAUCAAUAGCACAAAUAGAUAUGCUUUUACCUAUAUAACCUCUACUGUUGUUCCUCAUCGAUCUAUUGAUAUCCAUAAUGCCACCCUUAUCUAUAA